AGGCGUCUGACUUCGGAUCAGAAGAUUGGGGGUUCGAAUCCCUUUGUGGUCG
rnacentral:tRNA from 1 species